AUUUAUUAAUAUUAACUAAGAGGUAUUGAGUGAUUAAUAACUUUUAUUUUGAAAAUUACAUUUCCGGUUGUCGUAGGUCUACGCUCGCUCUUGUUGUUGUCUUCACACAGCUAUCCAACCCCAUUGUUGUUUGUUUUUUCGUUAACCUCUUAAAUCUGCCACAAAACAAAUGAAAGAAACUGAACCGUGUGAAGAAAGCGCUUGUGCUGACCGAGUGAAGUCGCGGAAACGUACUGGAGCUGGAGCUGGAGACCCCACUGCUGCUGCUGCUGCUCAGGUCAUCCUGCAACUCUUGCUGGCUUUUCUGUUACCUUUCUUAUCAUCAGUCUGAGGAAAAUCUUGCCAGCACUCUUAGAAAAAAAGGUAUGAAACUGUCACUGGGGCGUUGCCCCUUUUGUCACUGGAGUGUUACCAUAAAGGGUACAUCUCAGUACCAUUAGUCAGGGAACAUAAUUGUACCAUAAUCCAUUGAAAUUAUACUUUGUAAAUUGUAUUUACUCCACACACCCCGUCUCGUCUCCAGGCUUUUUAUUUUAUUAUUCUGUUUUAAAACAUUAGUUUAUGAAAAGGUAUGAAUAUCAUUUUCCAUUAGCAAAACUUAUUAAAGGUACACAAUUGGACCUUAAAACCACUGCUGUACCUUUGAGGGUACACUUGAAUUGUUUGUAUCUUGAUGGACGAAAAAUUUGCCUGCACAAUACCUUUAUUUUUAACAGUGUGGAGCACCACUUGUUGUGGUUCCAUGAAUAUUCCAAUUGCUUAUUAUCAAACCAGCUUUUCAGUUGCAUAUUAUCAAACCAGUUGUACUGAAGGGGAUGUUUAAGGUCUUUGCUAGGGCUCUGUAGUUUUCCAUACAAGGGUAACCAGUGGCAGCGUCUAUUGUAGUGACACUAGGUGCAAUUUGCCUAAGAACAUUUUUAUUUUCCUGCAUUAAUAUGUAGAACUUAAUUUAUUUUAAUUUUUAAUCUCUAGCUGGUUCUUCUCUCCACAGUGCAAUUAUAAAGUUCUGCUGGAAUAAUUCAAUCAAAAUUAUCUGCCCUCCAAAAGCCUGAACAUCUUGGAGGACUUGGAGCUUUAGAAUUUUACUACUGUUUAUCAUACUAGCUACUUUACAUUCAGCAUUGGACAAGUAAAGCAAACCAACCAUGUUUGAACACUGAAUUCAAGAAUUAGACAUCAACAGCUAUUAAUAAACAACAAUAAACACUUCAUAUUUUCAGCUUGGAGUCAGAGAGGAGUAACCAGCCUGGGACAUUUAUUCACUAAUAGCAUGACGGCUUGUUCAUGACCUUCAACAUAAUCUAGGAAAAGAACAACGUACCAGAUCAGUGUUACUUUUAGUAUAUACAACUUAAAGAGGUUAUAAAGAAAACGAGCAAUUUUCACAGUCCCACUCCUUUUCUCUACUUAAAACUACACAGCCUUAAGCCUCAGAACUGCACAAGAUCAUUUCCUGUUGAAAAAUGGACUGCAGAUAUAGAACAGUCAUGUGAUCCCAACUGGCAAAACAUAAUGGCACAUUCUCUAUGACAAUGAAUUCAAAACUUCAGUUAAUACAAUAUAAAACCUUUCACAUUACAACCCAUAAACUGCACCAUAUGGGAUUUAGCCACAGUACUACAUCCACACUGCCCAGUCUCAACAGACAAUUACUGUCAUACUUUCUGGCUUUGUCCUCAUAUCCAUUAUUUCUGGCCAGAGGUCAUUGGCAAGUUGUCUGAGAUCCUAGGCUUUGGCAUCCCCAUCUGCCUCACUGUAGAACUACUUAAAGGGGAAUACCCCAGCUUUUUCAAGAUUUCUGCAUAAUUAAACGGUUAGGAUGUAAACAAAGUCAUUCAGAGUGGUUUAGUGUGAAAUGCUCCGUUCUAGAGAAACAUCAGAAUUGUUCACAGUGGUGUUGAUGAGAACCAGACAUCUGAAGAUUUUAAUGCCACUGAAACAGGGAUGCAUGAUCUUAUCCACAGAGGGCCGGUGAGGCUGCUGGUAUUCAUUCCAAACUUGUUUAAUCAGUCUCAGUCUUCAAAUAAGUGAUCAUGUGAGCUCCUGCUUUAUUGGAAUGAAAAUCUGCAGCCAAACUGGCCUUUCACAAAUAAGAUUAGAUAAGAACACUCCAGCUCUAAAAGCUCCGUCGUAGAAAGUUAUGACAUGAAAUGGUUAUGUAUACACUGCCUGAUGUCUGAGACAUUGUUUUGCGAUAGGUUUGCAAUUAGAUUUUUGCAAUUAGCUUUUAGUGUAGGUUCACUGGUGGUUUUGGUUUUGAUUUCAAAUAAAGUGGCUAUAUUUGUGUUGUGGACAUUGUGACCUUUGGUUCCUGUUUGCAUCACUGAAUGAGUUUGUUUACAUCUUCAAUGAUUGAAUUAUGCAGACAAAAUGAAAAAUCAGUGGAAUUCCCCUUUAAAGUUAUAAGUGCACAGACUUCUUUAUCUAACAUUAGCAAUCACUGUUAAAAAAUGCUUCUUGGGUGGGAAAAAAGUCUAUAAUUUAAGUUAGUUGGUCAGUCCGUAGUAUUACUAAAUUGUUCAAGAGCUCUGAAUGCUCAUUUUACCUAUUUUCAUAGCCAAGCUACUAAGACCUUUAAACAGCUGACUGCUCAGCUUGUGCACUUGGGUAAAA